rnacentral:rRNA from 1 species
UAGUCAUACGCUUGUCUCAAAGAUUAAGCCAUGCAUGUCUAAGUAUAAUGGUUACUAAAACAUCAAAAAGAAACUGCGAAUGGCUCAUUAAAACAGUUAUAGUUUAUUCGAUAUUCAGAAUUUAUUCUAUAAAUGGAUAACCGUAGUAAUUCUAGAGCUAAUACAUGCGUUGCGGGUGACUUUACGGAAGCCCAGUAUUUAUUAGAUUUAUCAAACCAAUAUUCCGCAAGGUCUAUUUGUUGAUUCAUGAUAACUUUUCGAAUCGCAGGGUUGUACCCGCGAUAAAUCGUUCAAGUUUCUGCCCCAUCAGCUUGAUGGUAGUGUAUUGGACAACCAUGGCUUUCACGGGUAACGGGGGAUUAGGGUUCGAUUCCGGAGAGGGAGCCUGAUAAACGGCUACCACUUCUACGGAAGGCAGCAGGCGCGUAAAUUACCCAAUCCUGACUCAGGGAGGUAGUGACAAGAAAUAAUGAACUGGGAUUUAUCCUGGAUUUAUAAUGGGCGUGACUUACAAACCUUUUUUUAGCGAGGAACAAUUGGAGGGCAAGUCUGGUGCCAGCAGCCGCGGUAAUUCCAGCUCCAAUAGCGUAUAUUUAAGUUGUUGCAGUUAGAAAAGGCUCGUAGUUGGAUUUCUGGAGGUGGCGACAGGCGCGUGGUCAAGGCUACGCCCAGUCUACUCCUUCAUCCUUCUGUUAACGUUGCUCGGCAUUCAUUUGUCGACUUCGGGCUCAGAUAUUUUACCAUUUUAUUUUUCUUUGAGCAAAUUAGAGUGUUUCAGGCAGGCGUGCGCCGGAAUACAUUAGCAUGGAAUAAUCGAACAGGACCGUGUUCCUUUUGUUGGUUUCUAAGGGCAUGGUAAUGAUUAAUAGGGAUAGUUUACUAAAAGGGGUGGCAUUAGUAUUUAAGAUUCAGAGGUGAAAUUCUUUGACAUAAUUAAAGACUAACUUAUGCGAAAGCAUUUGUCAAGAAUGUUUUCAUUAAUCAAGAACGAAAGUUAGGGGAUCAAAGACGAUCAGAUACCGUCCUAGUCUUAACCAUAAACUAUGCCGACUAGGGAUCGGAGGCGUGCACAUUCCGCCUUCGGCACCUUACGAGAAAUCAAAGUCUUUGGGUUCCGGGGGGAGUAUGGUCGCAAGGCUGAAACUUAAAGGAAUUGACGGAAGGGCACCACCAGGAGUGGAGCUUGCGGCUCAAUUUGACUCAACACGGGAAAACUUACCAGGUCCAGACAUUGGAAGGAUUGACAGAUUGAUAGCUCUUUCUUGAUUCUAUGGGUGGUGGUGCAUGGCCGUUCUUAGUUGGUGGAGUGAUUUGUCUGGUUAAUUCCGUUAACGAACGAGACCUUAGCCUGCUUAAUAGUUGCCUGUCUUUCGAGACUUGCCAACUUCUAAGAGGGACUUUGUGUGCAACCACAACGAAGUUUGAGGCAAUAACAGGUCUGUGAUGCCCUUAGAUGUCCUGGGCCGCACGCGUGCUACACUGAUACAUACAACAAGUAUUUGCUGCUCCGAGAGUAGAAAGCGGCUAAUCUGCAAUAUGUAUCGUGCUUGGGAUAGAUUAUUUUGAAAUUCUGAAUCUUGAACGAGGAAUUCCUAGUAAGCGCAGGUCAUCAGCCUGCGUUGAUUACGUCCCUGCCCUUUGUACACACCGCCCGUCGCUCCUACCGAUUUCGAGUGGUCCGGUGAACAUUUAGGACUGUCGAGCAAUCGCGAAUUAACAGGUGAACCUUAUCACUUAGAGGAAGGAGAAGUCGUAACAAGGUUUCCGUAGGU